rnacentral:rRNA from 1 species
UACCCUCGGGAGGGGGAUAACCCCGGGAAACUGGGGAUAAAUCUCCAUAGGAGAUAGGUGGUGGAACUCCCCUAUCUCCGAAAGGGAUGAUGGUAAUCCUCCAUCAUCCGCCCGAGGAUGGGCCGGCGGCCUAUCAUGGUAGUUGGGGGGGGAACGGCCCGCCAAGCCUAAWACGGGUAGGGGCCGUGAGAGCGGGAGCCCCCAGAUGGGCACUGAGACAAGGGCCCAGACCCUACGGGGCGCACCAGGGGCGAAACCUCCGCAAUGGGUAUAUGCCUGACGGGGGGACGGGGAGUGCCCUGGGGUUUAUCCCUGGGGCUUUUCGGGAGUGUAAGUAGCUCCCGGKAUAAGCGGUGGGCAAG